rnacentral:misc_RNA from 1 species
AGUUUUUGCACCUGGAGAACAACCAGCUUACAGGAUCUCUUUCAAACGUGAUCUUGAGAAGCUCUCAGCUUACCGUAUUGGAUAUUAGCAACAACAACAUCUCUGGUAAAAUACCUACUUGCUUGGAACUACAAAUGAGGACACUUGCAAUGAGAAACAAUCAAUUGAAAGGUCCACUUCCAUGUAUUAAUCUCCCAUUCAGUUUUGUAAGAAAGGUCUAUAAAAC